rnacentral:rRNA from 1 species
UACGUAGGGGGCACGCGUUGUCCGGAAUUAUUGGGCGUAAAGAGCUCGUAGGCGGUUUGUCGCGUCUGCUGUGAAAUCCGGAGGCUCAACCUCCGGCCUGCAGUGGGUACGGGCAGACUAGAGUGCGGUAGGGGAGAUUGGAAUUCCUGGUGUAGCGGUGGAAUGCGCAGAUAUCAGGAGGAACACCGAUGGCGAAGGCAGAUCUCUGGGCCGUAACUGACGCUGAGGAGCGAAAGCAUGGGGAGCGAACAGG